AUGAUGUUCAAACCAUUGCAAAUCGUGGCUUGGAAUUGGCUCGAGCAGGUACAUAUCCCGAAGCACAGAAACAUGCAUCAAUAUAUCAGUCGAUAAUGCAGAGGCUUCACCAAGCCUUACAUCGAACUCAUGAAGACCUUCAUGAUGGACGAGAAGUACCUCAAUUAGUAUACACACGUCAACAACGACACAGACGAGGACGACGCAGAAACGACAAUGAAGCUGGGCCUUCCCAACGUGUUGACGAUGGAGCUGGACCGUCACAACCACAAACGCAACCGGAUCAUGAACUCAUCGAAGGUCGGGAUAGAGGAGGCCGAAGACAAAGGAGGAGGAGAAGAGUUCUUGGAUGUAUGUAAGCUAAUCGGUAUUGUUAUAUAAAUUACAAUCCUAUUUUGAUAUGUACAUUACAAACGUAUUUCGGGACAAUAGAUGGUUUUUGGAUUUGUAGCUGAGAUUGUGGUGUGACUUAUUAGAUUUGUAAGUGGGUUUGUGGCGUGAUUUGUUGGAUU